rnacentral:rRNA from 1 species
AGAGCGAACGCUGGCGGCAUGCUUAACACAUGCAAGUCGCACGGUCAGCAAUGGCAGUGGCGGACGGGUGAGUAACGCGUAGGUAUCUAUCCUUGGGUGGGGGAUAACCAUGGGAAACUAUGGCUAAUACCGCAUGACACCUGUGGGUCAAAGGCGCGAGUCGCCUGAGGAGGAGCCUGCGUACGAUUAGCUUGUUGGUGGGGUAAAGCCUACCAAGGCGACGAUCGUUAGCUGGUCUGAGAGGAUGAUCAGCCACAUUGGGACUGAGACACGGCCCAAACUCCUACGGGAGGCAGCAGUGGGGAAUAUUGGACAAUGGGCGAAAGCCUGAUCCAGCAAUGCCGCGUGUGUGAAGAAGGUCUUCGGAUUGUAAAGCACUUUCGACGGGGACGAUGAUGACGGUACCCGUAUAAGAAGCCCCGGCUAACUUCGCGCCAGCAGCCGC